rnacentral:rRNA from 1 species
AUGUGCAUUGAUGCUACUAUAAAACACAUUGACGGGGUCAUAUUAUAUUUUAAGAAGUACAGAGAUGAAGGCUUUCAAGCUAGUAUUGAGAUAGCAAAAGCCAUUGCAUCUGAUAUGGACAUAGAGCCAGAAUUUCCUUCAAAACGUCAACGGAAAAGAAAGAGGCAUCAUGAUGAAAUCAAUGAUCAAGACGAAGAAAUACAAUUGUCAGCUAUGGAAUCCUUCAGAGUUAAUUACUUUCUAGUCAUCGUUGACAAUGCAAUUCUUUCAUUCACCAGUCGCUUUGAUCAGUUGAAGAAAUUUGAAAAGGUGUUUGGUUUCUUAUUUAAUUCAAAAAGUCUGAAGUCCUUGGAUGAUAGCAAACUACCGGAAUGUUGCGCUACUUUUGCAAAAGCUUUUUUUGAUGAUAAAUCAUCUGAUGUUGAUCUUCAUAAUUUUGUCUCAGAAUUAAAAGUGUUGCAGACUUUGCCAGAAGGUUUGAUGUCAGCGCUUGAGAUUCUUCAGUUUGUUAUGGUUGUAGAUUGCUAUCCAAAUGUCUCUGUUGCCUAUCGGAUCCUCUUAACAGUGCCUGUAGCCUCAGCUGAAAGAAGUUUCUCUAAACUGAAAUUACUGAAAAAUUAUUUGAGGUCAACUACGUUGCAAGAUAGAUUGAAUGGUAUGGCUAUGUGUUGCAUUGAGAAGGACAUCUUGGACAAUGUUGAUCUUGAUUGUGCCCUUAAUGACUUUGCAUCAAGAAAUGCCCGAAGAAACUUUUUUUGA